ensembl:lncRNA
AUGCCGCGUUUGUGGAACACACUGAUUAGCACCGCUGAGGGAGGCGGGCUGCUCCCUGCAGGAGAACGUGAUGGUGUCUCUGGCCAACGCGCGCCUUCUGCUUCCUGUGUUCCAGCUGGAGAGGAGGAAGUGGCAGCUGGAGAGGAGGAAGUGGCAGCUGAGGAGGCCGGCGAAGAGGAGGCUGCCGCUGAUGGCGAAGGAGAGACCGUAGCCGAGGUCGUGGCCGAGGUUGCAGAGGUCGUCGCUGAGGCGGCGGAGGAGGUCGCCGAGGCGGCAGAGGAAGUUACAGAGGUCGCUCGUGAAGUGGAGGCGGUCGCGGGAGAGGUGGCUAAGGCGGCCGAAGCCGCCCCCCAAGCCGCCGCAGAACCAGCCGCCGAGGAGCCCGACAGCAACGUGCCGCUGGCUGCUGCUUCUGCUCUAGAAGUACCAAAGAUCAUUGAAGUGACGGAAGAGUUAGCCGCAGCCAUUCAGGACAUCGAUGAGUCCCUUGCACAAGUUGAGGAGGCUACCAAGCCAGCAGAAGAGUCCCCAGCACCAGUAGAGCCUGCACCAGUUGAAGACACCACAGCACCAGUAGAGGUUGCACCAGUUGAAGAGGCCCCAGCACCAGUAGAGGUUGUUGAAGAGUCCCCAGUAGAGGCUGCACCAGUUGAAGAGGCCCCAGCACCAGUAGAGGCUGCACCAGCUGUUGAAGAGGCCCCGGCACCAGUAGAGGCUGCACCAGUUGUUGAGGAAGUCUUGGUACCAUCUGAACCUGAAGUUACCACAGCACUUGCUGAGGAACCAGUCACCACCGCAGUUGAUGAAGAGGCUCUGGCAACCAUCGCUGCAGAAGUAGCGACCCCUAUGGUGGUUGAAGAAGCGGCUACUGAGACCCUUGCAGAAGCUCCGAAGAGAGAGUACAUUGUUGUGGUCCUGGAAGGAACACCUAAAGCUGAUAAGUCACCCAAGGUGCUUGGAGUGGAGUCCAUGACUGGUAGAAUCAUCCCAACUCCAGACGACGACGUCUCUGCUUCUGAGGUAUCGGAUAAUCCGAUUUUUUUGGGAGUAACCUCAGAUAGGACAUAUGAUAAAAAAAAACAUGGAUUAAUCUAUCUUUCAGUAUUGCAGUGUUUUGAGAAAGGGUUUAAAGAACAGUUAUUAUCAGAAUGCUCUUAA